rnacentral:RNase_P_RNA from 1 species
GCAGAUGACCGGGCAAUCGCCCACGCUUUCCUUGAAUUCAAGCGUCAUGUUGAACUCAAGCAAGGUGUGGGAGGAAAGUCCGAACACCACAGGACAGCAGGCUGGCUAACGGCCAGGCGGAGUGAUCCGACGGAAGAGUGCAACAGAGAACAGACAGCCCUAAGCGCAUUUUUGCGCCGGGCGAUGGUGAAACGGUGAGGUAAAGGCUUCACCAGCGGACGUGGCGACACGUUCGGCUAGGCAAACCCCCUGCGGUGCAAGGCCAAAUAGAGAAACGUGAUGAAGUUUGUCCAGCUCAUUUCGCUUCGGCGGAGCGUUUCCGGGUAGGUCGCACGAGCGGCUCAGUAAUGCGUCGCCCAGAUGAAUGAUUGCCUCCUGCGUCAUUUGAUGCGGGAACAGAAUUCGGCUUACAGGUUGACUGCACGA